CGGAGAUAUCCUUCCGCCGUCUCCUCAGGGCGGGCUGACGCGUUCAGCCCAGCCAGGCCGCGGCGGGACGAGGAAAGCAGCGCAGGAGAUGGCGAGUUAUUGAGCUCAACUGGAAGCGGUAACGCACCGCUCCCAGCCAUUGUGAAGAGAUUAAACUUUGUACUACUUUUCCAGCCCCAGGCUCAGGCUGUGCUAUCUGAAGCUUCUUGCAGCAUUUGGUUCUUCUCGUUUUGUGUUGCUGCUGGCCUUCUGAUGCCAGAGAUCACCACAGGAAAUAUUUGUAUGGCAUGUCUCGCUUGCUGCAUGACUGAUCCGUACCUCAGCAAAACUUGGGAUAUUUUCUAGGUCUUCACAAUGACAGAAGACAAGUCUCUGUGGGAUUCACACCCUUCUGCUGGGGUUUUCUCACCAUUCUCCAUGCUAACAUGAACCAACAGCUGGGUUUAAGAGAUCUGUUAUAAAUAGUAACAUCGUGCUGCUAGCAAGCUUCUUGGAAAGUAAAGAAAAUACGUUAUUUAAUGCACUCUGACAUUUGCUUUUCCUCCCCUAUUCCUGAGCUGCAUUUCUGUAAACAUCCGUAACAACAAAUGCACAGAAGUUGACUUCUUCACGUAGACAUAACAAGUGCUGCCUUGAGCCCAGGAGAUGAUACCCAGAACA